ACAAUAAGUGAAUGCAAUCCUUCUCCGCUUUUUGUAAAUGAAGAUUUUUACUUUUAGGAAAACAAUGGCUCUCAAAGCGUCCAUAUUAGGUUGAUCAACUGAAGAGUGAAUGUGAAAAGAUUGCCACUUUGACUUAAAGUAUCGGCAAAGGUGCCGCAACACCAAUCGCUAGCCCGAAACUUAUUUCGUUCUCACCCAAAGCAACAAAACUCCGCAAUCUUGUCAAAAAAAGGACGACAAAUUGGUUGUCCGUCUUGGUGGUAAUGAAGGACUACAAAAAUUUGAUCUCUCUGGUUUGCUGGUACAGAGAAUCUGAUACGUUCAGACGAAUUAAGCUGGAAAACAAAGGCAAACAUGGAAUUUAAAUACGAACGCAUAAAUGUUGACAAAGAAUUCUUCAAAACACGCUCACAAAUCGGACUCAAUAACCAAGCAUAUUUCAUGCACAUAUGCAGGAAAUAUAAAAAUUAUCUAACAACACUUCCAACUAAUGGAUUACAACCUCCUCCAAAUUAUUUAUAUAAGUAAUUCAAUUUCACUUAUGAAUAAAUGGCUAUUUUUUUUAUCAAACUGAAUAUACCAUACAACCUUCGACGUAGACAAAUUUCGUCAUCAACAAUAACAUCCAUACACCUUAUUUACCAGACCGAAAAUUUCAACCCGAAGUAGGCUGUAAUUAUUAGAACUGCCAAAAAAAUAACAAACAAAAAAAAAAAAUGGAAUAUCAAACCAACUAGAAUUGUAUAAUGGAUCAUUCACGCCCGCAUCCGCCUGUUUAGAAAAAAAAAGGAUUUUCUUUACUAAAUCUGCUGGGGCUGCAUUUUCUUUUGUUAAAAAAAAAAAUGAGGAAUAUGGAGUAAUCUAAAAAGGCAAUUUCUUCUUGGUUUGGGCUUUCAAGGCCAUAUUAGUUGCAUGGGAAAUCACAUUCGCACAUUUGUUUCCAAACGUCAUUAAGUUCCUGUUAGAUGCUCAGAUAUUCGAUGUGAUUUUUUGCAAUUGCAAAUGGGCGAGUAUACGACAAUAGUGUUGUGAUAUAUUGUGAUUGGAUGGAAGGUUAAUGACUGUUCGAGUAUUUGUUGCAUCCUCUGUAUGAGACAAAACUACACAUACGCAAUUGAUUCUCUUUGUAUUCGAGAAGGUACUCAAUGUUGAGCCCAUUUUCUUUGCAUUAAGAAUUGGCGAGCGGUUUAUGAAAGAACAUAAAGCAAGAAAUAUUAUUUGGCUGUCGUGACAAAGUUUUUGUGUCCCCAUCUUUAAGAGUAUACAAAAAACUCUCCAUCUGUUCUCAUCGGUGACGGAGGAAUCAACACUUGCACCAGGUCGUGUAUAUUAAUAUGCUUGUAAGACAAAUGGAGCUUAAACGCUUGUCUUUUGAACUCCAGUUCGCCUGCCAUUUAGUAGAUGGCGCAAACCCACGUAUCUGAGAAAAAACACUUCAAAUUUAUGAUUUUGGUUGCAUUCAUACGUUAUUUUUAUUAGUCUGCGAUUGGUG